GCCCUAGUAACGGCGAGUGAAGCGGCAACAGCUCAAAUUUGAAAUCUGGCCUUCUUUGGGGGUCCGAGUUGUAAUUUGCAGAGGGCGCUUUGGCGUCGGCAGCGGUCUAAGUUCCUUGGAACAGGACGUCACAGAGGGUGAGAAUCCCGUACGUGGUCGCCUGCCUUCGCCGUGUAAAGCCCCUUCGACGAGUCGAGUUGUUUGGGAAUGCAGCUCUAAAUGGGAGGUAAAUUUCUUCUAAAGCUAAAUACUGGCCAGAGACCGAUAGCGCACAAGUAGAGUGAUCGAAAGAUGAAAAGCACUUUGGAAAGAGAGUCAAACAGCACGUGAAAUUGUUGAAAGGGAAGCGCUUGCCGCCAGACUUGCCCGUGAAGGUUCUCCUCCUCGGGCAGGCCAGCAUCAGUUUGAGCGAUCGGAUAAUGGCCUCUGUCAUGUAUCUUCCUUCGGGAUGACCUUAUAGGGGAGUCGUAGUACGGUCAGCUUGGACUGAGGUCCGCGCAUUUGCUAGGAUGCUGGCGUAAUGGCUGCAAGCGGCCCGUCUUGAAACACGGACCAAGGAGUCUAACAUCUAUGCGAGUGUUUGGGUGUCAAGCCCGAGCGCGCAAUGAAAGUGAACGGAGGUGGGAACCCUCUCUGGGGGUGCACCAUCGACCGAUCCUGAAGUCUUCGGAUGGAUUUGAGUAAGAGCAUGGCUGUUGGGACCCGAAAGAUGGUGAACUAUGCUUGAAUAGGGUGAAGCCAGAGGAAACUCUGGUGGAGGCUCGCAGCGGUUCUGACGUGCAAAUCGAUCGUCAAAUUUGGGCAUAGGGGCGAAAGACUAAUCG
rnacentral:rRNA from 1 species